rnacentral:tRNA from 2 species
GGAGAGGUCGCAUAGUUGGCCUAGUGCGCUCGCUUGGAAAGCGAGUAUGGCGUAAGCCAUCGUGGGUUCGAAUCCCACCCUCUCCG